rnacentral:rRNA from 1 species
AACGAACGCUGGCGGCAUGCCUAACACAUGCAAGUCGAACGAGACCUUCGGGUCUAGUGGCGCACGGGUGCGUAACGCGUGGGAACCUGCCCUUAGGUUCGGAAUAACUCCCCGAAAGGGGUGCUAAUACCGGAUAAUGUCUCCGGACCAAAGAUUGAUCGCCUUUGGAUGGGCCCGCGUUGGAUUAGCUAGUUGGUAGGGUAAAAGCCUACCAAGGCUACGAUCCAUAGCUGGUCUGAGAGGAUGAUCAGCCACACUGGGACUGAGACACGGCCCAGACUCCUACGGAAGGCAGCAGUGGGGAAUAUUGGACAAUGGGCGAAGGCCUGAUCCAGCAAUGCCGCGUGAGUGAUGAAGGCCUUAGGGUUGUAAAGCUCUUUUACCCGGGAUGAUAAUGACAGUACCGGGAGAAUAAGCUCCGGCUAACUCCGUG